rnacentral:rRNA from 1 species
GGGUUGUGAGGUUAAGCGACUAAGCGUACACGGUGGAUGCCCUGGCAGUCAGAGGCGAUGAAGGACGUGCUAAUCUGCGAUAAGCGCCGGUAAGGUGAUAUGAACCGUUAUAACCGGCGAUUUCCGAAUGGGGAAACCCAGUGUGAUUCGUCACACUAUCAUUAACUGAAUCCAUAGGUUAAUGAGGCGAACCGGGGGAACUGAAACAUCUAAGUACCCCGAGGAAAAGAAAUCAACCGAGAUUCCCCCAGUAGCGGCGAGCGAACGGGGAGGAGCCCAGAGCCUGAAUCAGCAUGUGUGUUAGUGGAAGCGUCUGGAAAGGUGCGCGAUACAGGGUGACAGCCCCGUACACAAAAGCGCAUGUGCUGUGAGCUCGAUGAGUAGGGCGGGACACGUGGUAUCCUGUCUGAAUAUGGGGGGACCAUCCUCCAAGGCUAAAUACUCCUGACUGACCGAUAGUGAACCAGUACCGUGAGGGAAAGGCGAAAAGAACCCCGGCGAGGGAGUGAAAAAGAACCUGAAACCGUGUACGUACAAGCAGUGGGAGCACAGGUUUACCUGUGUGACUGCGUACCUUUGUAUAAUGGGUCAGCGACUUAUAUUCUGUAGCAAGGUUAACCGUAUAGGGAGCCGUAGGAAACCGAGUCUUAACCGGGCGUUAAGUUGCAGGGUAUAGACCCGAAACCCGGUGAUCUAGCCAUGGGCAGGUUGAAGGUUGGGUAACACUAACUGGAGGACCGAACCGACUAAUGUUGAAAAAUUAGCGGAUGACCUGUGGCUGGGGGUGAAAGGCCAAUCAAACCGGGAGAUAGCUGGUUCUCCCCGAAAGCUAUUUAGGUAGCGCCUCGUGAAUUCAUCUCCGGGGGUAGAGCACUGUUUCGGCUAGGGGGCCAUCCCGGCUUACCAACCCGAUGCAAACUGCGAAUACCGGAGAAUGUUAUCACGGGAGACACACGGCGGGUGCUAACGUCCGUCGUGAAGAGGAAACAACCCAGACCGCCAGCUAAGGUCCCAAAGUCAUGGUUAAGUGGGAAACGAUGUGGGAAGGCCCAGACAGCGGGAUGUUGGCUUAGAAGCAGCCAUCAUUUAAAGAAAGCGUAAUAGCUCACUGGUCGAGUCGGCCUGCGCGGAAGAUGUAACGGGGCUAAACCAUGCACCGAAGCUGCGGCAGCGAACGUAUCACCCAAGACAACUUUACGGAGUUGACGAUUGACGGAGCGAAGCGACGUCAAAGCGUUCAUUAAAGUCGAGUUGGCUUAGGGAUACGUUCGUUGGGUAGGGGAGCGUUCUGUAAGCCUGUGAAGGUGUGUCGUGAGGCAUGCUGGAGGUAUCAGAAGUGCGAAUGCUGACAUAAGUAACGAUAAAGCGGGUGAAAAGCCCGCUCGCCGGAAGACCAAGGGUUCCUGUCCAACGUUAAUCGGGGCAGGGUGAGUCGACCCCUAAGGCGAGGCCGAAAGGCGUAGUCGAUGGGAAACGGGUUAAUAUUCCCGUACUUGGUGUUACUGCGAAGGGGGGACGGAGAAGGCUAUGUUGGCCGGGCGACGGUUGUCCCGGUUUAAGCGUGUAGGUGUGUGUUCGGGUAAAUCCGGUUCACUUUAACACUGAGGCGUGACGACGAGGCACUACGGUGCUGAAGCAACAAAUGCCCUGCUUCCAGGAAAAGCCUCUAAGCAUCAGGUAACACGAAAUCGUACCCCAAACCGACACAGGUGGUCAGGUAGAGAAUACCAAGGCGCUUGAGAGAACUCGGGUGAAGGAACUAGGCAAAAUGGUGCCGUAACUUCGGGAGAAGGCACGCUGACACGUAGGUGAAGUGAUUUACUCAUGGAGCUGAAGUCAGUCGAAGAUACCAGCUGGCUGCAACUGUUUAUUAAAACACAGCACUGUGCAAACACGAAAGUGGACGUAUACGGUGUGACGCCUGCCCGGUGCCGGAAGGUUAAUUGAUGGGGUCAGCGUAAGCGAAGCUCCUGAUCGAAGCCCCGGUAAACGGCGGCCGUAACUAUAACGGUCCUAAGGUAGCGAAAUUCCUUGUCGGGUAAGUUCCGACCUGCACGAAUGGCGUAAUGAUGGCGGGCUGUCUCCACCCGAGACUCAGUGAAAUUGAACUCGCUGUGAAGAUGCAGUGUACCCGCGGCAAGACGGAAAGACCCCGUGAACCUUUACUAUAGCUUGACACUGAACAUUGAGCCUUGAUGUGUAGGAUAGGUGGGAGGCUUUGAAGUGUGGACGCCAGUCUGCAUGGAGCCGACCUUGAAAUACCACCCUUUAAUGUUUGAUGUUCUAACGUGGACCCGUAAUCCGGGUUGCGGACAGUGUCUGGUGGGUAGUUUGACUGGGGCGGUCUCCUCCUAAAGAGUAACGGAGGAGCACGAAGGUUGGCUAAUCCUGGUCGGACAUCAGGAGGUUAGUGCAAUGGCAUAAGCCAGCUUGACUGCGAGCGUGACGGCGCGAGCAGGUGCGAAAGCAGGUCAUAGUGAUCCGGUGGUUCUGAAUGGAAGGGCCAUCGCUCAACGGAUAAAAGGUACUCCGGGGAUAACAGGCUGAUACCGCCCAAGAGUUCAUAUCGACGGCGGUGUUUGGCACCUCGAUGUCGGCUCAUCACAUCCUGGGGCUGAAGUAGGUCCCAAGGGUAUGGCUGUUCGCCAUUUAAAGUGGUACGCGAGCUGGGUUUAGAACGUCGUGAGACAGUUCGGUCCCUAUCUGCCGUGGGCGCUGGAGAACUGAGGGGGGCUGCUCCUAGUACGAGAGGACCGGAGUGGACGCAUCACUGGUGUUCGGGUUGUCAUGCCAAUGGCACUGCCCGGUAGCUAAAUGCGGAAGAGAUAAGUGCUGAAAGCAUCUAAGCACGAAACUUGCCCCGAGAUGAGUUCUCCCUGAGACUUAGAGUCUCCUGAAGGAACGUUGAAGACGACGACGUUGAUAGGCCGGGUGUGUAAGCGCAGCGAUGCGUUGAGCUAACCGGUACUAAUGAACCGUGAGGCUUAACCUUACAACGCCGAAG